rnacentral:rRNA from 1 species
AAUGAACGUUGGCGGCAUGGAUUAGGCAUGCAAGUCGGGGGAAUCCCAGCAAUGGGGAACCGGCGUAAGGGGCAGUAAGGCAUGGGUACCUACCUUGGGGUUCGGGAUAGCCAUCAGAGAUGGUGGGUAAUACCGGAUGACGUCGUGAGACCAAAGAUUUAUCGCCCUUAGAGGGGCCCAUGUGAUAUUAGCUAGUUGGUGGGGUAACGGCCCACCAAGGCGAAGAUGUCUAGCGGGUGUGAGAGCACGACCCGCGCCACUCGCACUGAGACACUGGCGAGACACCUACGGGUGGCUGCAGUCGAGGAUCUUCGGCAAUGAGCGCAAGCUUGACCGAGCGAUGCCGCGUGAGCGAUGAAGGCCUUCGGGUUGUAAAGCUCUUUAGUGGGGGAGAAAAGCCGCAAGGUGUGAUCUAUCCCAAAAAUAAGCACGGGCUAAGUUCGUGCCAGCCGCCGCCGUAAAAC